ensembl:lncRNA
ACGAGACCUCCCCGGGGUGUCACACUGACUGCUGCUGGGAUACAGAUGACGGGGAUACACAGUCAUGCGCUGCGUUUCCCAGUCGUGGGGUUAUUCUCUUGGUUUCUGCCUGUGCCAGCGAAUCAGUCUCCCAUUUACUAAGGUGGCAAAGUUUCCUUCUAUGAAUGUAACUGUUGGCUUUUGUUUGUUGUUUAGUAGCUGUGUCCAACUCUUUGUGACCCCAAGGACUGUAGCCCACCAGGCUGCUUUGUCCAUGGGAUUUCCCAGGCAAAAAUACUGGAGUGGGUCACCAUUUCAUUCUCCAGUGGAUCUUCCUGGACCAGGGAUGAAACCUGCGUCUCCUGCACUGGCAGGCGAAUUCUUUACCACUGGGCCACCAGGGAAGCCCAUAAACGUAGGUGGUGCCGGUGUAAUCACACAGCCCUGGAAAGUGUUAAAAGCGGGAGAGCACGGCCCUACAAAGCAAGUCAAGACGGGAUCCAUGUUUCCGGCUUUGAAGAUGCAGGAAGGCUCCAGGGAGAGGCCGGAGUCCGAUUCUCCCCUGGGGCUUCCAGAAGGGGCGCGCCCCACCCACACUUUGAUCAUUAGCCCAAAGAGGGCUAGGUUGGACAUCUGACCUCCAGAACU